GACGAACGCUGGCGGCGUGCUUAACACAUGCAAGUCGAACGGCAAGGCCCUGCUUUUGUGGUGUGCUCGAGUGGCGAUCGGGUGAGUAACACGUGAGUAACCUGCCCUUGACUUUGGGAUAACUUCAGGAAACUGGGGCUACUACCGUAUAGGAGCUCCUGUUCCAUGGUGGGGGUUGGAAAUUUUCGGCUGUUGGGGCUGGACUCGCGGCUGAUGAGCUAGUUGGUGGGGGAGUGGCUUACCAAGGCAUUGAACGGUAGCCGGCAUGAGAGAGUGACCGGCCACAUUGCUCCUAAGAUACGGCGCAGACUCCUACGGGAGGCAGCAGUCGGGAAUAUGGCACAAUGGGCGGAAGCCUGAUGCAGAAACGCCGCGUGCGGAAUGACGUCCUUCGGGUUGAGAACCGCUUUCGCCUGUGACGAAGCGUGAGUGACGGUAAUGGGUGAAGAAGCACCGGCUAACUACGUG
rnacentral:rRNA from 1 species